UGGGGCAAAAUCAGUACUUGGUCCUGCUAGUGAAGGCAGGGGGCUGGACUCAAUGACCUUUCAGGGUCCGUUCUAUGAGAUAGGUAUAUCUCCAUAUAUUUUUUAAGGGUCUGGGUGGUGGUAUCGAACGAAGAUUACCCCCCAUUUACUCACUCAUCAGUCAUUCACUCUGGCUCUCCUUGCUGUAAGGUCACUACAAUUAGAUCGACCUGUGCUCCAUGCUGGAACUUUAUACAUGUGAUAUUUACUUUUGCAUGGGCCCAUAUUUGCCGACCAAUAGGUUCAAUAUCAAUCGUACACGCAGACUUUGCCAGUCCUUUAUCAAAUCUACUUCUGCUCAAAGGGACCCUGCUCCCAGGAUCCUUUGCAGCCCUUCAGCCAUGUUUGUCAUGUCAAGUUGUGCUCACACCAUUCCUUCAGCACGGCCACACCAAUCUGGCACCAUCCCAACAGUCCCCCAUUCGAUAUUCAAUUACCAAAGAGAAUUGUAAUAUCGCAUCAAUCAGACCUGCAAUUUGUACGCUAACUAUUAGAUCCUGUGUCUCCUUUUCUGGUUUCUAUAAAACUUAAAGCAUUAUCUUGACAUGAUUAGUAACAUAAGCCAACAACUCAAUCUUAUAAAUUUUCCGCAAAGCUUGUAUUUCCUUGUAUUGCUUACGCAUCUGAUAUCCCCAACAGAAACGCACAAGGAAUAAUAGGGCAGUUCCAGAAAUCCAAAAUAACAUUGCCCAUUCAACUCCAUUCCAUGUUGUGACUUGACAUACAACAUCGUACCAAGCACACAUUUGAGAUCUUAUUUUUUUUACAGCCUUUUCAACAAUUUUAUACUUUCGGGCAAGCAUACCUUUAACAGAUAUUAUCAGUCUAGUGACCGUUCUAUUUGGUCCAGUGUGCCUUGAUGAGUUUGUAUCUCCAUAUCCCAAUCUGUAUCAUUCCACUCCCCCUCCCUCAAAUUUGGCGAUGUUAAUCUAGGGUGAGGUUUUAGUCAUCUGAGGGUGCCAUUGAUAUUGUUCGUACUGGAAAUGAGUUAUAAUCUCCAUGAGUACACCACAUCCCUUGGUCCAUAAACCAGGUUUGGUUGGUUGGUUGUUACAUUACCCUUUUCCUUUUGAUACCAACAUAUAUCUUGGUUUAUUUCAUAUAAUCCCCACCAACCAUUUUUCCACUGUAAAUUCAUGGCGAGAUUACCUCCUUUCCAUUCCAAAUUCCAAUUUCCUUCACACCCAUUCAGGUCUCUGUUUUCUAGGUGGGAGUAGGAAUUCAGGACCUGUCAUUAACUCAAAAGGACCAGUUUAGUUCGAUGUUUACACUCCUCCUGGGAAACGGCUGUUAUCAGUAUGUCAUCCACAUCAGAAGUAACCCCCGGCUUAUCCAAAUCAGAGUUGAUCCCACUUCCUUGUCACAUGUGCAUGUGCUAUAACUGAAGCAUCAUGGUAACCCGCGGGGACACGUUGAAAUGUGAGCUGUUUGUUCUGGAAUGUACAAGCAAAUCGAGGCUGACUCUCAGGGGCUAAUGGAAUGGCAAAGAACCAGCACUAUCCAAUACAGAGAACCAGUUAGCAGCUGCAGCUAUUCCCGCCAGUGUAGCUGGGAGCUUAGCUGCUAUUGGUGCCAUCGGGACGCAUUGAUUUUUCUAUACUCAAGUGUGAGGCACCACCUUCCGUCCGCUUUCCGCCCAGGCCAGAGUGGAGAAUUGUAUGGACUUCGGCACUCCACCACCACUUCUUGUUCCUUUCAAUCCUGUAGCCGUUCUUCUAUAUGUGGAACGGCUUCGGCAGGAUAGGAAUAUCGAGGAACUGGUUUUACAAAUGUUCCUACAAUUUCCACUGCUGCUUGUAUGCCCCCAAUUUGGAUUUCUUCUUGGCCCACAGCAUAGGGAACUUUUGUGUCCAGUCAUGAUCUGGUAGCACCACAGCUGCAGUGGCUUUGCAAGCUCCUUUCCUCUAUCCUCCUGAAAUCACCUGCUCGCUCAUAAUCCGUCUCCCCUUUCCACAGCCAACCUCCUGCCAGAUCAAUGAUCCAUUUCUCCUGCUGUACCACAUCUGCACCUGAGAUGGCAUUUUCAGUCCGGCUGUUACAGACCCACUGUAUCUGUCCAAAACUUACUGUGUCCUAUCACCCGUGGCAGGUUUUUCAAUAAAAUUCCUUUCGCUCCUGUGCCCUGAAA